CUGUUUAUUCCCCAAAUACUCCUAUACAUAUAGGCUUCUUCCUUGAAAACAGAUACAGAUGAGAAAAACAAAAUAAUACAGCAACUAUGAACAUCAACAAAAUCCAAAAGGAGGUUUUAGUUUGUGAAUCUGUACUCUAUUUCCUAGAGAGACGAAAAUUGACUUAGGGCGAUUGUGUCAUAGCAAAUUCAACACUUUCGCUGCAACAGAUUGAGGUACAUACACUGUAUUUUUUUCUCUGAAUUUUCUAUCAAUGGCAUCAGAGACAGGUUUAAAAGCCCCUAUCUCGAUCAAAUAUGAAUGAUUCAUAUUCUUAUAAAAAAAUAUAUUGAAAUUGAAUGUUGCUUUACCUGUUAGAAAUAAAUCACGGAUAAAGAUCGAAGUUUAGACCCGACUUGAAUCAACAAUUUUACCUUCUAUUCUGGAAGAAGAUUAGAAAGUUAUAAGAUCGGAUCUGAAAUUUUAAUUUCAGUUUCAUUUUUUUUUCUUUUCUUGUUCGGAUGAAUCUGAUAUAUAAAAGAAUAGGAUAGGUGUCGAAAAAAAGGGUUCGUAUGAGUUGUUACUGCCCAUGCACAGUUUGUAGGUGAAAAAAGUACCUAAAUUAUGCUAUUUGAUAAAUGUGUGUGCUGUGCUAUUCAAGGGCAGUGGAAGUUUGUGAAAGUGUUGUAAUGUGCACUUUAAUAAUAAUAAAAAAUCCUGAUCCUUAUUAUUAUUAGUGUUUAUGAAAAUAGAUAAAGUGCUGUGCAUUGCAUUUUAGUCACUUAGUUAAAAAAAAGUGUAGUAAUUUACAUAAAAUUUCUUUUGGGAUUUCUGUUUUUUUUGGUAAUUAACAUGAAAAUAUCCUAUAAAGGUGGCAUAGUGAAUCCUUUUAAAAUUUUAAAUAAAUAAGUGGUUGAAUUAGAAUUGAAUUUCCUUUCGCCUUAAUUAGUCCAUAAUAAUUUUAACAGGUUUUGUCUUCUAUGAUGAAUUGUGACAUAAGUGUCACAUUGAGUGGUAAAUCCAUUCUUAUUGUUUCUUGAUUCCUAUUUCAGAAAUGACUGAACAAGGACAAACUCGAAUCACUCCAAGUGGGAGUUCUGGAUAUCGAGCAAAGAGACAAGGUAGAAGAGCACGUUGUCGAAGGACAUGUUUUCGAGGUCAUGAGAUCAUACGAAAUGGUGUCCCCAGGGCGACACAAAAUCUGUUACGGAAUGAACGGCCUAUACGAAGGGAAAGAUAAAAGAAAUUGAAAGAGUUCAAGUCUUUUAAGAUGUCACCUAACAUUAGUGUUGCUAGUUUUAUACAUCUGUUUGAAAUGAAACGUGUAGAAUAAGAAAACUAUGUAGAAAUCUCGGAUUGGG
rnacentral:lncRNA from 1 species